rnacentral:rRNA from 1 species
GGGCCCGCACAAGCGGUGGAGCAUGUGGUUUAAUUCGAUGAUACGCGAGGAACCUUACCAGGGCUUAAAUGGAAAAUGACAGGGGCAGAGACGCCCCUUCUUCGGACAUUUUUCAAGGUGCUGCAUGGUUGUCGUCAGCUCGUGCCGUGAGGUGUCAGGUUAAGUCCUAUAACGAGCGCAACCCCCUACCGUUAGUUGCCAGCGAGUAAUGUCGGGGACUCUAACGGAACUGCCGGUGCAAACCGUGAGGAAGGUGGGGACGACGUCAAAUCAUCACGGCCCUUACGUCCUGGGCCACACACGUGCUACAAUGGUAGGUACAGAGGGAAGCCACCCCCAGCGAGGGGGAGCGGAUCUGAUAAAACCUAUCUC